UGAGAGAUCCUAGUAGCUUCAUGAUAUGA
rnacentral:piRNA from 1 species